rnacentral:rRNA from 1 species
GACGAACGCUGGCGGCGCGCUUAACACAUGCAAGUCGAACGGAAAGGCCUGCUUUCCCUUGUGGAUUGCGGGUACUCGAGUGGCGAACGGGUGAGUAACACGUGAGUGAUCUGCCCCCAACUUGGGUAUAAGCCUGGGAAACUGGGUCUAAUUCCCGAUAGGACUGCAGGGUGGUGCCUGUGGUGGAAAACGAUUUUCUAGUGGUUGGGGAUGAGCUCGCGGCCUAUCAGCUUGUUGGUGGGGUAAUGGCCUACCAAGGCGGCGACGGGUAGCCGGCCUGAGAGGGUGGACGGCCACAUUGGGACUGAGAUACGGCCCAGACUCCUACGGGAGGCAGCAGUGGGGAAUAUUACACAAUGGGCGGAAGCCUGAUGCAGCGACGCCGCGUGGGGGAUGACGGCCUUCGGGUUGUAAACUCCUUUCGACCGCGAGGAAGCCACCUGGUUGGAAGGGUGGUGACGGUAGUGGUAGAAGAAGCACCGGCUAACUACGUG